GGACACCACUCUAAACCAACUAAAUGAGAAUCAGAUAUCGUGAAGUCACUAAUCAUUUUGCUCCUGGGUCUUUAUGACAGUUUUGCUCCUGGGAAACUCUUGGGAAUGUGGUAGAGAGAGAGAAAGAGAUGGGAAAAUAAGAUUUUAAGAAGUGUUGCUAUGCAUUUUGAAAAUAAUUUUUAUUUGGUGUUUGUCUUGAGGGAAGGCGGUAAACAUUUCAAUUGCCUUUAAGUGUGCUUGGAUGCUGGAACGAUGGUUCUUUGAAUGCAGCGUCAAACUGGCAUUGGGUCACAUGGCAGCCAGCAUUAACCUUUAUGCCACAUUUAUAAAACAUGAAUGUCAUGAGCCCACUCUCAGAGACCUUAUAAUUUGGAGGGUUAGGUCAGAUCCACAAAUCUCUUCUAUCUCAUGGUAAAGGAAACCUGGCGUGUAGCAGGAGAUGGUGUGAUAACAAUAAUAUAUCGCAUGAUCAGUAUUUGUAUUCUUCUUAUCAAUAUUAAACUUUUUGACCUCCUCCAUUGUGUCAUCAAUUUGCUUAAUACAGUUUCUGCCUCAGCGUCUGUUUUUAGGCCUGGCAUAAGCUGUUUGAAACCCAGGCACAUACCCCACCCAUCAUCUUUGGCCUAGUUAACACCUCCCCUCCCUGCGUGGUGGUUUGGAGAACCUGCUUGUUCCUCAUCCCACUGAUCCCAAACCCAGGACACCCCACAGCUGCUGACCAGGAUUAAACCUAAGGGAGAUUUAAUGCCGUUAAAUCAGAAGAAAUUCUGAUUCUCAGGGACUGACAUUCAUUCACUUAAAUACUUGCAGAGUCGGCCAGGUGUGGUGGCUCACACCUGUAAUCCCAGCACUUUGGGCAGCCGAGGUGGGUGGAUCACGAGGUCAAGAUUUCGAGACCAGCCUGGCCAACAUGGUGAAACCCCGUCUGUACUAAAAAUACAAAAAUUAACUGGUAUAGCUGUGCGUGCCUGUAAUCCCAGCUACUCAGGAGGCUGAGGCAGGGGAUUUGCUUGAACCUGGGAGGUGGAGGUUGCAGUGAGCCAAGAUUAUCCCAUUGCACUCCAGCCUGGGCAGCAGAGCGAGACUCUGUCUCAAAAAACAAAAAACCCAAAAACUUGCAGAGUGAAUUUAGGAAACCAUGUAGUCUACAGUUUGAUGCAAUGUCUUCCUUUUCCUCUUUCUCAAAUAUUUUGAGCCAGGUACUAUCCUAGAUUGUCUUGUGAUAUUUACAAUCUAGGAGAAGGCAGGAGAGAGAACUAAGAACAGAGAGCAUGUUCUGAGAUGUCUGCUGUGUUUGCAGAAAUGAGGCUUCUCCCCAGGACCAGCAUUCCACGAAGGCAGCCCUUUUCUAGAUGGAGAAAACAGAACCUGAAGACACCCGUUUCCCUAAACUGCUCUCGCUCAUAGAAACUCCUGGAGGGCAGAGGCAUGCCUGCCAUCUUCAUCAUUGCAUUACCACCACCCAACACUAUCGGGGGACCUGCCCUGAUAAUCAGUCUACAGGUGUAUCCAGCAGCUCCAGAGAGACAGCGACCAGCGAGAAGGGGCCAUGAUGAUGGUGGUGGUUUUGUCAAAACGAAAAGGGGGAUAUGUAGGGAAAAGAAAGAGAGAUCAGACUGUUACUGUGUCUACAUAGAAAGGGAAGCCAUAAGAGACUCCAUUUUGAAAAAGACCUGUACUUUAAACAAUUGCUUGCUGAGAUGUUGUUUAUCUGUAGCUUUGCCCCAGCCACUUUGCCCCAACCACUUUGACCCAAUCUGGAGCUCACAAAAACAUGUUUGUAUGAAAUCAAGGUUUAAGGCAUGUAGGGCUGUGCAGGACGUGCCUUGUUAACCAAAUAUUUGGAAGCAGUAUACUUGGUAAAAGUCAUCACCAUUCUCUCGUCUCAAUAAACCAGGGGCACAAUGCACUGUGGAAAGCCGCAGGGACCUCUGCCCUUGAAAGCUGGGUAUUGUCCAUGGUUUCUUCCCAUGUGAUAGUCUGAAAUAUGGCCUCAUGGGAUGAGAAAGACCUGACGGUCCCCCAGCUCGACACCCAUAAAGUGUCUGUGCUGAGGUGGAUUAGUCAAAGAGGAAAGCCUCUUGCAGUUGAGAUAGAGGAAGGCCGCUGUCUCAUGCUUGCCCCCUGGGAACUGAAUGUCUCGGUAUAAAACACUAUUGUACAUUUGUUCAAUUCUGACAUGGGAGAAAAACCACCCUAUGGUGGGAGGCGAGACAUGUUUACAGCAAUGCUGCCUUGUUAUUCUUUACUCCACUGAGAUGUCUGGGUGCAGAGAAACAUAAAUCUGGCUUACAUGCACGUCCAGUCAUAGUACCUUCCCUUGAACUUCAUUAUGUCAUAGAUUCUAUUGCUCACAUGUUUGUUGCUGACCUUCUCCUUAUUAUCACCUUGCCCUCCUACUACAUUCAUUUUUGCUGAAAUAAUGAAGAUAAUAAUCAAUAAAAACUGAGGGAACUCAGAGAACGGUGCCAGUGCAGGUCCUUGGUAUGCUAAGCGCCGGUCCCCUGGGCCCACUGUUGUUUCUCUAUACUUUGUCUCUGUGUCUGAUUUCUUUUCUGUCUCUCAUCCCACCCGACAAGAAAUACCCACAGGUGUGGAGGGGCA
rnacentral:lncRNA from 1 species